ACGACCUGGAUACCUGUGAGGUCACGGUGGAGGGAGAGGAGCUGAACCACGAGCAGGAGAGCCUGGAGGUGGACAUGGCCCGCCUGCAGCAGAAGGGCAUUGAAGUGAGCAGCUCUGAGCUGGGCAUGACCUUCACAGGCGUGGACACCAUGGCCAGCUACGAGGAGGUUUUGCACCUGCUGCGCUAUCGGAACUGGCACGCCAGGUCCUUGCUUGACCGUAAGUUUAAGCUCAUCUGCUCAGAGCUGAAUGGCCGCUACAUCAGCAAUGAAUUUAAGGUGGAGGUGAGUACAAGGCUCCCACUGAGCAGGGCCAA
rnacentral:lncRNA from 1 species